rnacentral:lncRNA from 1 species
UUUACUAGUUUUGGGUACAUUUCUAAGUAUCUUAAGGAUACUAACAAAUUUCUAAAUAACAGACCCAGAUCUCCUAUGCAUAUCAAUCUUAAACCGAACACAAAUCCCCAGUUCCACGAUCAUAUAUCCUUCCAAUUUCACUCGGCCACUAAACCAUAAAUCAUGCAAAAACCAAAUCAUCGUAAACACAACAUCAAUAUAAUCCACACCAACAACAUCGUACACCAAUUCAUCAAUUUCACAUACAUGCAACAUCAUCAAAACAAAU